rnacentral:rRNA from 1 species
CUGCCCUAUACAGGGGGAUAGCCUCGGGAAACUGGGAUUAAUACCCCAUAAUACUUAAAUAUCGCAUGAUAAUUAAGUUAAAACUCCGGUGGUAUAGGAUGGUCCCGCGUCCCAUUAGCUAGUUGGUAAGGUAACGGCUUACCAAGGCGACGAUGGGUAGCCGGCCUGAGAGGGUGAUCGGCCACACUGGAACUGAGACACGGUCCAGACUCCUACGGGAGGCAGCAGUGGGGAAUAUUGCACAAUGGGGGAAACCCUGAUGCAGCGACGCCGUGUGAGCGAUGAAGGUCUUCGGAUCGUAAAGCUCUGUCCUAAGGGAAGAAAUUUGACGGUACCUUAGGAGGAAGCCCCGGCUAACUACGUGCCAGCAGCCGCGGUAAUACGUAGGGGGCGAGCGUUGUCCGGAAUUACUGGGCGUAAAGGGUGCGUAGGCGGCCCUAUAAGUCAGAUGUUAAAGCCUUCGGCUUAACCGAAGUAAGCAUUUGAAACUGUAGGGCUUGAGUGCAGGAGAGGAGAGUGGAAUUCCUAGUGUAGCGGUGAAAUGCGUAGAUAUUAGGAAGAACACCAGUGGCGAAGGCGACUCUCUGGACUGCAACUGACGCUGAGGCACGAAGGCGUGGGGAGCGAACAGGAUUAGAUACCCUGGUAGUCCACGCCGUAAACGAUGAAUGCUAGGUGUCGGGGUCGACAGGCUUCGGUGCCGCAGUUAACACAUUAAGCAUUCCGCCUGGGGAGUACGAUCGCAAGAUUGAAACUCAAAGGAAUUGACGGGGACCCGCACAAGCAGCGGAGCAUGUGGUUUAAUUCGACGCAACGCGAAGAACCUUACCAGGGCUUGACAUCCCUCUGACAGUCUUAGAGAUAAGACAUUUCUUCGGAACAGAGGUGACAGGUGGUGCAUGGUUGUCGUCAGCUCGUGUCGUGAGAUGUUGGGUUAAGUCCCGCAACGAGCGCAACCCUUGCCUUUAGUUGCCAGCAGAUAAGCUGGGCACUCUAGAGGGACUGCCGGUGAUAAACCGGAGGAAGGUGGGGAUGACGUCAAAUCAUCAUGCCCUUUAUGUCCUGGGCUACACACGUGCUACAAUGGCCAGUACAAUGGGUUGCCAACCCGCAAGGGGGAGCUAAUCCUUAGAAGCUGGUCUCAGUUCGGAUUGUGGGCUGCAACUCGCCCACAUGAAGUUGGAGUUGCUAGUAAUCGCGAAUCAGAAUGUCGCGGUGAUACGUUCCCGGGUCUUGUACACACCGCCCGUCACACCAUGAGAGUUGGUAACACCCGAAGCCAUCGGGCUAACCUUUAG